CUCGAUGGUGACGUCCCCAGAAGCUACCUGUUUCUCCAGAGCCUCCUUCUCCACACGGAGCCGGCUGACCUCGAUCUGCAAUUUGUCGUGGUCAACCUGGAGAAAGCCCAAAGCCUUGGCCUGAGUAGCCAUCUCCCCCUCCAUCCGCUCCAGUUCGUCAGCCUGCUCACAGCAUCGGUCCUUCAAGUCCUUUUGAACUUCUUCGAAAGCUUCGACUAUGUCUUGGAGGCUUGUUACUUGAACUUGGAGGGUGACUUCCCGAGCGUAGAAGUCGGCUUGUAGCUCCAUCGCCUCACCCAGCUGCUUUUCAGCCUCCUCCUUGGCCUCUUACGCCAACUUCAGAGAGGCUUGGUAGGCCUCGUUUUGGCGUCCCAGAGUCUUCUUUUCCUCCUCCAGAGCAGCCACCCUUGCUUCCAGGGCCUGGAGGGUUUGUGUCUGCAAAACAGCAU
rnacentral:lncRNA from 1 species